rnacentral:rRNA from 1 species
GACGAACGCUGGCGGCGUGCUUAACACAUGCAAGUCGAGCGGUAAGGCCCUUCGGGUACGACGAGCGGCGAACGGGUGAGUAACACGUGGGUGGACCUGCCUCUAGCUCUGGGAUAAGCCUGGGAAACGUAGGGUCGUAAUACCGGAUAUGACUCCACGGCGCAUGUUGUGGGGUGGAAAGCCUUGUGUGGCUAGAGAUGGGCCCGCGGCCUAUCAGCUUGUUGGUGGGGUGGAUGGCCUACCAAGGCGACGACGGGUAGCCGG